UUUGUCAGAGGUUCUGUUGGCCACAAUGAAUAUCCUGUUCACACAAUACAAGCGUCUAAAGGGGGCUGCAGCAGGUACGCCAGGAAGACCUCAGCGUACCCUAGAGGACAGAGACAUGCUGCUGCGCAGUCAAGCCCGGGCUCUGAUCACGUUUGCGGGAAUGAUUCCGUAUCGGAUGGCUGGAGAUACCAAUGCCAGACUGGUUCAGAUGGAGGUCCUAAUGAACUGAAACCCCCCCCCCCCCUUGACCCUUCUCCAGCAGCUCUCUUUCAUUGUCCUCAUUCCAUCAUUACUUUUGUCAACUUAUAUUUGUAUUUUUUCCCAUUAUUUGAAAUAAAAUAAAAAAAUGAAAUU